rnacentral:rRNA from 1 species
UACGGGGGGGGGCAAGCGUUGUUCGGAAUUACUGGGCGUAAAGGGCGCGUAGGCGGCCUGCUAAGUCGGACGUGAAAUCCCUCGGCUCAACCGAGGAACUGCGUCCGAUACUGGUGGGCUUGAAUCCGGGAGAGGGAUGUGGAAUUCCAGGUGUAGCGGUGAAAUGCGUAGAUAUCUGGAGGAGCACCGGUGGCGAAGGCGGCUUUCUGGGACGGUACUGACGCUGAGACGCGAAAGCGUGGGGAGCGAACAGG